rnacentral:lncRNA from 1 species
GAUUUAUCAACAGAACAACAAAACUCCGCUUGAGCACAGAAUCUGAUCUUAAGCAUAAGAAGGGUUUCAUGAAUACGGCCCCUAUUCUUUUACCUCCAAUUUAUUAUAUUCAAAUUCUUAAAAUUCAAUGACGUCACAAAAUAACAUUGUGACGUAGCUAACAUUUCAUCAUUCUUUCGUGUAUCAUUACCAAUCGUGCUGACAUGGUGCAGUUUUGCAUGUUUGCAUAACGUAAAUAGGGAAACAAUUAAAAACAAUCGAGCACACUAAAAAGCAAAUGGUUAAACAAAGUUGUACAAUUAGUUAUCAUACUUUGAUUAUGUAUUAAAAGAUCAAUAACUACAAAGCUUCUCUAGAAUAUAUAAAACAUCUGUUUACAUUGAAAAUGUAAAAUAUCAGAACGUCACGUGUUUUCUCUAUCAAGGGAUACCUCAUGAACCGUUUCAGUUGACCAUGUUUUACAAAUUUUGGAGUUGCCUAAUUGCUCAAGAAAACAUUCUAAUAUUUUCAAAAUUACAAAAUAUUAUAUUCGAUGCCAUUAUUCUAGCACAUUUUCAUUCAUCUCCUAAAGCAUUUUUCUAUAAAUUCUUAUUUGGUAACGGGCAAUCUAAAAAAAAUAAUAAAUCACAACGUAAACAAUUGCAUUACAUAUUAAAACUGUAUCAGGCACUUGUUAAUAUAUUUGCUGCAAAAAUCAAGCAAUUACAACAUAUGACGUAUGUAAAACAUUAUAAUAUAACAUAGUAAUACUUGAUCUGUUUAUACGUUACAUUUAUCAGGGAACCUCGUUACUCCGGAUGCCAGUUUAGAAUUAAUUUUGUAGAUACCUUCAUUACGAUUUCAUUAAUGUCAAGAGAUAUUUCAGUUUUAUUCACCUAGACAUUUCUUUUUAUUCAGACAAACUGGUUGAAUCAGAAAUCAUAUUCAACUAGUUACUGUACAAGGCCAAUAAAAACCAACUUUAUUUCAAAAAGAAUAGUAAUUCAAAUGCUUGUGUAUUUUAAAUUUGUCCCCCCCCCCCCGAGAUUUUUCACACCUGACGUCAAAAUCACGAAAACGUUGUCCCCAGACUCUUCCAUGGGUUACUGCAUAACUAUACACAUAAUUUUUUACAAAUGUACAAAAUAAAAUUUGAUAUAUUUUCAUGCAUAAUUGAUUAUUUACAAAAUGAACAAAAUUUAGUUUAUAUUUUAAUAUACAUAAUUACAAAAGUACUGAAGAGAUGUGUAAUAUUAACAAAAGAAAACAUUGAGAGUAUUGCUACCAUUAUAUAGUACAAUAUAUAUGGCACUGCAAGUUCCACACACCGACCACCGACAAAGAGCAAUCCAGUCUUAUUGAAUUUUAUUAAUAUGUCGUCAUGCUGUUAUUUAUAUAUAUAUUGAAUACUAUUGAUCAUGCUUGUAACAACGUAUUUGUGGUGUAUGUACUAACUGCCGAAAUAGUACCGUAUGUUGAAAGAAAUCAAUUGCGUCUCAUUUACUGACUAUAAAGGACUUUCCCUUCAGUCGCGUAAUAUUCGACUUAAUUCAGCAUCACUCUGACAUAGCCUUUCCUUGUAAAUCUGUAUCCGGCUUGUUUAUUAUAAACCUGACCGACUUUUAUACAAAAUCUGCUAUACUGUACCCAACAAAUAUGAUAUCAGAGGAAUUUUCAUACUGAUGACAAACCAUGGUCUGUUUUAAUGUGAUUAAAUUAGAAAUAUGGAUGUAAUCAACCGGAAGGGUCAUCUCUGAUGUAUAAGGCAAGAAAGCAAAGAUAUUUACAAAGCAUGACAGUACAGUUGUUAAAAUCAAUACAGCUUACAAAUUAAAUAUAUAUAGUGCCUUUAGAAAGAAAUGGUAUGACGUCACUAAUUCACAAUAUCAUACCAUUAUUUACCGAGUACAUGGUACCAAAUAUUUAGAAUGCUACUUCUUUUAUUCAAGACAAUAUGUCAUAAUACAUAAAUUAAACCUGGUUGAAUUAUAUUUUACUCUAUUACGAACUUUCUCCUGGACAUAAUUCAUUAAUGACUCAAUUCAGAUAUCGUUUCCCCCCUCUACUUGUUUAGAUUUGUUUGACUUUAUCCUGCACUUUUGAAAUUUCACUAUUUUUGCCUCCAGCAUGGCUCACAACAUUUUGCGUUUUCUAUGCAUUAAAUUAGAUAAUUUCGAUAGAAAAUAUCUAUAAACAACAGAAUCAUAUAAAAUGUACGUGCACAUUUAAGAAGAAAAUAUACAACACAUGAUAUGACAAAAAUAAAUAAUAUAAUCUAUACACAAAAAUGUUAACAUUUCGUUUUCAAACGCUCAAGAUUAAUACAAUAAUUCACAAGAAAUAAGACAGGUGAAUAUUUUGAAGAACUGAAAUUAUUCUGUUUUUUUUCCCAGAUCUAAUCGUAUCGUUCACCGUUCUUUUAAGUCGAAUGUAUGACGGGAAAUUUCAACUGAUGUUUGGUAGGGUCAAGAAAGGUAGUCAAAAUGCAACAGAAAGCACAGGAAAAUCCUCCUGAAUGCUGCUUCACUUUGUUUCUAAACAUUUUCUUCAGGUUGGUGAUCACUGAUAGAGGCAGAACGCUGGGUAACUGAUUGAAUUGGCGAUGAGAUGCGAAACUAGCGGCGGUACCCGAUGGGCCGAAAUAAAGUGGAAGAUACAGUAUGCAAAUACUGAUUUUUCUCUGUAACCUUAAGUUCAAUUACAGACAUAAAAUGAAUCGUUUAGUGGAAGUAUUGCAUUGGCGGUUACUAUCUCGUUAUAAAGAUAAGCCCACAAAUUAUACAGCAUAAUAGCUUCGUUUUUAGUUUCAAAACAUACAAAAACACUGUAGAACUUUCUUUUAAAUCAAUGUCAUAAUAAUAAACAUAUUUGACCUUUUGAUGCUUUAGCUGUUUCAGUGCGAUUCUUGACUUAUUUUGUUAAUCAUAGCAUUUUUAAAUUCCAUCUUUCUUGUUUAUAGUUAAGUCUUAGCAGCUACAUCAAUUUGAUAACAUCAGAUAACCAUAUUUGCGGUUUUGUCACCACCUAGACCUAAUAUUUUAUGUACAUGUUCCAUAUUGGAUAAUGCUUUGGAAAUAUUUUCAAUAUUGUCGUUUAUACAAAAUAACCGGUAAAUUUCAAUUCAAUCACCUGUUGGGUUAUUUUUUUUUCAUUAUAGGUCCAACAAGCUUGCCCUGUCUGAAAUCAUAAAUAAUAAUACAUAACAACUUCAAAAGGCAGCGCCCUUCUUCGUUAGACGAUCAAACAGUAUCUCCUUUUUUCAUUUUCGUUCUAUAAACCAGACAAUCUUUCUGAGGACAACUGGAUCACAUCAAUGUCUACACCGGUCAUUAGUUGUUGAUCUGAUCAAGGACAACUGAAUCACAUCAUUGUCUCCGCAGGUCACUAGUUGUUCAUCUGAUUGAGGACAACUGAAUCACAUAAUUGUCUCCACAGGUCACUAGUUGUUCAUUUGAUUGAGGACAACUGAAUCACAUCAUUGUCUACACCGGUCAUUAGUUGUUCAUUUGAUCUCGGACAACUGAAUCACAUCAUUGUCUACAUCGGUCAUUAGUUGUUUAUCUGAUCCAACUUCGUCUGAUUUUUCCAAUGUUAGGAGUGUAAAAAGAUACAACUGACGUUCACAAUUAUUAUUUUAUCUUAAUCGACGAGUCGUACAAACAUAUAUAAUACAAAUCGUCCUUCUACGGCUUGAUUGGAAAAAAUGACGUUUCACAAAGUUUUUUAAGUAGGUGUUCAGAGGGAUGAGAUAUAUUUCAUAUACGGUAUAAGUGUCUGAUGUUUUUUUGUCUGUGAAAUCUUUGUAAGAAAACUUGGUUAUAUUCGUCAAGAUUGGUUCAAUAUUUCUUUCAUUGUAUUUCAAAUUUGGCAAACAAUUCAUCUGAACGAGUUGAUUGGCGUUAUUGUUGCCAUCCAGAUUCGAUAAAAGGUUAUACACUGCUUCACUAAUGAAGAUCAAACAAAGGAAACUGUUGUGCAUUUUGACAUAUUUAUUUAUCAUAUCAAGACACCAACACACAAAAUGUACAUUACAAUAGCAUACCUCUACAAAAUAUUUAUUUCCAUUUAAUCUCGAACGAGUAUAAACUUUUGAAUGUCUAAGCGAUCCAACACCAUAGCGCCAACAAAUACAACAUUUACAUUUUUCAAAGAUGAACGUAGAAUACACACACGUAAUGCACCUUUAAAAGUAGGUAAUAUAUACAGCAUGCCAAACAAUUAAUUACACUGCACCAUACACAUUCUAGGAUUCGCAUGUGAUGCCAAGGGCAAACAAAAACAAACAAAAUGGAAAACCCUUUAGAGUUUCAAAAUUAAUAGGAGUACUGGUUAUAUUCAAGUUAAAUCAUUAGACACGUGUGUAUAUUAUGAAACCUUUAACUACUCAAAAAAGGUAAAUGUGGUUAUCAAGGGGACUUAACAAUCCGAAAACAGAGUCCACUACCUUUUAUCUUGAAAGAUGAACUUAACACACAUACAUGCGAUGCACCUUUAAAAUGAGGUAGGUCGGGUUUCAUCGAAGACUCAUGUUUAUCUACUGGAUAUUACACAGGGAGUGAUAAUUAUGAAUACUGUAUAUAUAUUUCUAGAUAACGAAUUUU